AAACGGCAGAAGGGCAAACCGAAGAGUUUACUCUUCGGGGUUGUAGGACUGCAAUGUGGACUCAAAGAUUAUAGAAGAAUGAUUUGGGAAGAUCAGCCAAAGAGAGUAAUAGCCUCGUAUUUAAAAUAGUCUUUGUACUUAGCAGUAUCCUGAGUACGGCGGGACACGUGAAAUCCCGUCGGAAUCUGGGAGGACCAUCUCCCAACCCUAAAUACUCCCUAGUGACCGAUAGUGAACCAGUACCGUGAGGGAAAGGUGAAAAGCACCCCGGGAGGGGAGUGAAAUAGAACCUGAAACCGUGUGCCUACAACAAGUUCGAGCCCGUUAAUGGGUGAGAGCGUGCCUUUUGUAGAAUGAACCGGCGAGUUACGUUAUGAUGCGAGGUUAAGUUGAAGAGACGGAGCCGUAGGGAAACCGAGUCUGAAUAGGGCGCCUUAGUAUCAUGACGUAGACCCGAAACCAUGUGACCUACCCAUGAGCAGGUUGAAGGUGCGGUAAGACGCACUGGAGGACCGAACCAGGGCACGUUGAAAAGUGCUUGGAUGACUUGUGGGUAGCGGAGAAAUUCCAAACGAACUUGGAGAUAGCUGGUUCUCUCCGAAAUAGCUUUAGGGCUAGCGUCGACAUUAGAGAUUCUUGGAGGUAGAGCACUGUUUGGGUGAGGGGUCCAUCCCGGAUUACCAAUCUCAGAUAAACUCCGAAUGCCAAUGAAUUAUGGUCGGCAGUCAGACUGCGAGUGCUAAGAUCCGUAGUCGAAAGGGAAACAGCCCAGACCACCAGCUAAGGUCCCAAAAUAAUUGUUAAGUGGAAAAGGAUGUGGGGUUGCACAGACAACUAGGAUGUUAGCUUAGAAGCAGCUAUUCAUUCAAAGAGUGCGUAAUAGCUCACUAGUCGAGUGACCCUGCGCCGAAAAUGUACCGGGGCUAAAACAAUUUACCGAAGCUGUGGAUACCUUUAUAGGUAUGGUAGGAGAGCGUUCUAUGUGUGAUGAAGGUAUACCGUGAGGAGUGCUGGAACGCAUAGAAGUGAGAAUGCCGGUAUGAGUAGCGAAAGACAGGUGAGAAUCCUGUCCACCGUAAGACUAAGGUUUCCAGGGGAAGGCUCGUCCGCCCUGGGUUAGUCGGGACCUAAGGAGAGACCGAAAGGUGUAUCCGAUGGACAACAGGUUGAUAUUCCUGUACUAGAGUAUGUAGUGAUGGAGGGACGCAGUAGGCUAACUAAAGCAGACGAUUGGAAGAGUCUGUCUAAGCAGUGAGGUGUGAAUUGAGUCAAAUGCUUAAUUCUAUAACAUUGAGCUGUGAUGGGGAGCGAAGUUUAGUAGCGAAGUUAGUGACGUCACACUGCCAAGAAAAGCUUCUAGCGUUUAAACAUACUCUACCCGUACCGCAAACCGACACAGGUAGUCGAGGCGAGUAGCCUCAGGUGAGCGAGAGAACUCUCGUUAAGGAACUCGGCAAAAUGACCCCGUAACUUCGGGAGAAGGGGUGCUGACUUUAAGUCAGCCGCAGUGAAUAGGCCCAAGCAACUGUUUAUCAAAAACACAGCUCUCUGCUAAAUCGUAAGAUGAUGUAUAGGGGGUGACGCCUGCCCGGUGCUGGAAGGUUAAGAGGAGUGCUUAGCGUAAGCGAAGGUAUGAAUUGAAGCCCCAGUAAACGGCGGCCGUAACUAUAACGGUCCUAAGGUAGCGAAAUUCCUUGUCGGGUAAGUUCCGACCCGCACGAAAGGCGUAAUGAUUUGGGCACUGUCUCAACGAGAGACUCGGUGAAAUUUUAGUACCUGUGAAGAUGCAGGUUACCCGCGACAGGACGGAAAGACCCCAUGGAGCUUUACUGCAGUUUGAUAUUGAGUGUCUGUACCACAUGUACAGGAUAGGUAGGAGUCUAAGAGAUCGGGACGCCAGUUUCGAAGGAGACGCUGUUGGGAUACUACCCUUGUGUUAUGGCCACUCUAACCCAGAUAGGUGAUCCCUAUCGGAGACAGUGUCUGACGGGCAGUUUGACUGGGGCGGUCGCCUCCUAAAAGGUAACGGAGGCGCCCAAAGGUUCCCUCAGAAUGGUUGGAAAUCAUUCGCAGAGUGUAAAGGUAUAAGGGAGCUUGACUGCGAGAGCUACAACUCGAGCAGGGACGAAAGUCGGGCUUAGUGAUCCGGUGGUUCCGUAUGGAAGGGCCAUCGCUCAACGGAUAAAAGCUACCCUGGGGAUAACAGGCUUAUCUCCCCCAAGAGUUCACAUCGACGGGGAGGUUUGGCACCUCGAUGUCGGCUCGUCGCAUCCUGGGGCUGUAGUCGGUCCCAAGGGUUGGGCUGUUCGCCCAUUAAAGCGGCACGCGAGCUGGGUUCAGAACGUCGUGAGACAGUUCGGUCCCUAUCCGUCGCGGGCGUAGGAAAUUUGAGAGGAUCUGCUCCUAGUACGAGAGGACCAGAGUGGACUUACCGCUGGUGUACCAGUUGUCUUGCCAAAGGCAUCGCUGGGUAGCUAUGUAGGGAAGGGAUAAACGCUGAAAGCAUCUAAGUGUGAAACCCACCUCAAGAUGAGAUUUCCCAUGAUUAUAUAUCAGUAAGAGCCCUGAGAGAUGAUCAGGUAGAUAGGUUAGAAGUGGAAGUGUGGCGACACAUGUAGCGGACUAAUACUAAUAGCUCGAGGACUUAUCCAA
rnacentral:rRNA from 1 species